rnacentral:rRNA from 1 species
UACGUAGGGGGCAAGCGUUAUCCGGAUUUAUUGGGCGUAAAGCGCACGUAGGCGGAUUGCUAAGUCAGGGGUGAAAUCCUGGAGCUCAACUCCAGAACUGCCUUUGAUACUGGCGAUCUUGAGUCCGGGAGAGGUGAGUGGAACUGCGAGUGUAGAGGUGAAAUUCGUAGAUAUUCGCAAGAACACCAGUGGCGAAGGCGGCUCACUGGCCCGGUACUGACGCUGAGGUGCGAAAGCGUGGGGAGCAAACAGG